GAUCCUACGGGAGGCAGCAGUGAGGAAUAUUGGUCAAUGGGCUCACGCCUGAACCAGCCAAGUCGCGUGAGGGAAGACUGCCCUAUGGGUUGUAAACCUCUUUUGUCAGGGAGCAAUUGGCGCUACGUGUAGCGUUAUCGAGAGUACCUGAAGAAAAAGCAUCGGCUAACUCCGUGCCAGCAGCCGCGGUAAUACGGAGGAUGCGAGCGUUAUCCGGAUUUAUUGGGUUUAAAGGGUGCGUAGGCGGGAUGCCAAGUCAGCGGUAAAAAUGCGGUGCUCAACGCCGUCGAGCCGUUGAAAAUGGC
rnacentral:rRNA from 1 species